AUUGAACGCUGGCGGCAGGCCUAACACAUGCAAGUCGAGCGAGCGGCGGACGGGGGAGUAAUGUCUGGGAAACUGCCUGAUGGAGGGGGAUAACUACUGGAAACGGUAGCUAAUACCGCACACCAUCAGAUGUGCCCAGAUGGGCUUAGCUGGUAGGUGGGGUAACGGCUCACCUAGGCGACGAUCCCUAGCUGGUCUGUGAGGAUGACCAGCCACACUUGGACGGAGACACGGUCCAGACUCCUACGGUAGGCAGCAUUGGGGAAUAUUGCACAAUGGGCGCAAGCCUGAUGCAGCCAUGCCGCGUGUAUGAAGAAGGCCUUCGGGUUGUAAAGCACUUUCAGCGGGGAGGCGUUACCCGCAGAAGAAGCACCGGCUAACUCCGUGCCAGCCGCCGCGGUAAUAC
rnacentral:rRNA from 1 species